AUGGUAGAUGCAAAGAGGAGAAAUCAACUAGAUGUGGCCCGUAGGGACAAUCUAGUUUAUAUCCAAUUCAAUGGAAGGAUGAUUGAUAAAAGAAAGAAGUUAUCCUCUUCUAGUGAUGUUCUUCUUGGUGAAGAUGCUUCACGAGCUCAAGAUUGGAUAUGUGAAGAUGCAUAUAUCGAUGAGGAGAUUGAUCCCACUACAGGCAUGCCAUACAACAUCAUUGAUGAAGCAAUGGGGGCAAGCGAUCCUGUGGAGCUCCGUAGAAGUGCAAGAGUUAGAGAACUCCAUGAAGUUGAAGAAUUCGUUGAGGAUGAUGAUAAUGAAUCAGAUCAUGAGAUAGAGGAUGAUGGGAUUGAUUAUGAGUCCGAUGAUGAUGGAGUGAUGGCAACCAAAGACGAUGAUGAUGAGGAGGAACCCCCGCAGCCUUGA
rnacentral:rRNA from 1 species